AGUGAACGCUGGCGGUAGGCCUAACACAUGCAAGUCGAACGAGUGGCGGACGGGUGAGGAAUACAUCGGAAUCUACUCUGUCGUGGGGGAUAACGUAGGGAAACUUGCGCUAAUACCGCAUACGAUUGAAUGAGCCGAUGUCGGAUUAGCUAGUUGGCGGGGUAAAGGCCCACCAAGGCGACGAUCCGUAGCUGGUCUGAGAGGAUGAUCAGCCACACUGGAACUGAGACACGGUCCAGACUCCUACGGGAGGCAGCAGUGGGGAAUAUUGGACAAUGGGCGCAAGCCUGAUCCAGCCAUACCGCGUGGGUGAAGAAGGCCUUCGGGUUGUAAAGCCCUUUUGUUGGGAAAGCGGUACCCAAAGAACAAGCACCGGCUAACUUCGUGCCAGCAGCCGCGGUAAUACGAAGGGUGCAAGCGUUACUCGGAAUUACUGAGCGUAAAGCGUGCGUAGGUGGUCGUUUAAGUCCGUUGUGAAAGCCCUGGGCUCAACCUGGGAACUGCAGUGGAUACUGGACGACUAGAGUGUGGUAGAGGGUAGCGGAAUUCCUGGUGUAGCAGUGAAAUGCGUAGAGAUCAGGAGGAACAUCCAUGGCGAAGGCAGCUACCUGGACCAAC
rnacentral:rRNA from 1 species